AACGAACGCUGGCGGCAGGCCUAACACAUGCAAGUCGAGCGCGCCCUUCGGGGUGAGCGGCGGACGGGUGAGUAACGCGUGGGAACGUACCCUUUGCUACGGAAUAGUCUCGGGAAACUGGGGGUAAUACCGUAUGAGCCCUUCGGGGGAAAGAUUUAUCGGCAAAGGAUCGGCCCGCGUUGGAUUAGGUAGUUGGUGGGGUAAUGGCCCACCAAGCCGACGAUCCAUAGCUGGUUUGAGAGGAUGAUCAGCCACACUGGGACUGAGACACGGCCCAGACUCCUACGGGAGGCAGCAGUGGGGAAUCUUAGACAAUGGGCGCAAGCCUGAUCUAGCCAUGCCGCGUGAGCGAUGAAGGCCUUAGGGUUGUAAAGCUCUUUCGUGGGGAAGAUAAUGACUGUACCCCAGAAGAAGCCCGGCUAACUCCGUGCCAGCAGCCGCGGUAAGCACGAGAGUA
rnacentral:rRNA from 1 species